CCGGCUGUUGCCAGCGUGGACGGUCAAAUCUUGGCGGCCGGCAGAGUGGCGGCAGAAAUAAGAGAGAACUCUCCGGCGGCUUCGGAACUGUCAACUGGGAAGAUGAACCCCCGGGCUCAUGGAUGGAACAAAAGGCUAAAGAUUGAAGCUGCAGCACCCAGCAGAGCACCUUGCCCAAACCGUGUCAGCAAGAAGUCUCUGCGUAAUCUGUGUGGCAAGAUGAACAGGGAGAAUGCAGAUGAUGAUGUGAAGAAGACGAUGGAUGUUUUUGCAGAGAUUGGAGCUAAAUAUCCACACUUCACAUACAGAGUUCAAGCUGCCAGUGAGGGGAGGAUCAAGAAUCUGAUGUGGGCAACUGGGAGCAUCAGGCUGCAGUACAACUUCUUUGACGAUGUCAUAACAUUCGAUACGACUUAUAGGACCAACCUAUAUAACAUGCCUUUCGGGCUUUUUGUUGGGGUGAACAAUCACUUUCAGAGUGUGAUAGGAUACUGGCUGGUGUUCUUGUUCGCGACGAAACCCAAGAGAGUUUCGAGUGGGUUUUCUCAGAAUUCCUGAGAAUGAUGGGUGUUUCUGUACCCAUGACCAUACUUACAGACCAAAACCGUGCCAUGGAGCCGUCUAUCAUAAAUAUUAUGCCAGGGACAACACACAGAUGGUGUAAAUGGCACAUUUUGACGAAGGCCAAGGAGUCGUUGGGUCCUUUGUACACAAAGAAAAGCGACUUCAGGAGGUCGAACAGCUGGUGUAGGUGUUCAGAUAACUUUGGAUGUCAGUCAGAGUGGUGUUAUCAGAGUAUCACGCGUUGCAAGACAUACACGCAUGGGUGGCAGUGGCAUCGAUGGAGCACAGAGCAAUGUAAACCAGUCAAGGAUCCAUAGGAGGAGGAAGAGGUCGAAACGAAAGGGGAGUAUGAAAAGAAAGAAGGUCCGCUUCUCACACAUUGUUGAGACAAUAUGUCCAACUGAUAGCUCGGAAACAGACGACAUUAGCAGCAACGCUGGGAACAUUGCAAGUCAGGAAGAUAAUGGACGUCCUAUCCGAGCAAGUUUAUCCCAGAACACAGGGAAUGGUAUCGCACAGGUGCUCACUCGAGUGACACGGCGUGCGGGGUGAGAAUACAUGGCUGGUGGAGUCGUACCAGCUAGUCCAGCAUUGAGGAAUGACUGCAAUGAAGCUGCUGUAGCAAAUCCUGGUGGGUACAGGUUGCAGUGGACAAAAAAACUCUUUCUCCCUGUGGAAAUGAUGGGAGGCUUUUCUUAUUAUGUGGUGGACAUUGAGGAGAGGACUCUUGUUGUUUUGGAUCCAACAGUUACGAGCAUCCACGAUGAUGAGAUGAGUGUGAAACACAAACUUAAUGCGAACCUGGUGCUGAGGGCACUUCGGCGGUGCCUCAGCAAUCAUUUCGCUGACUGGUAUGUCCCAGAGGAUGGCUGGAGUGUCACUUACGGGUACAACAUGAAUGAGCCGUGCGAGAUGUGUGGGAAAAUCUAAUGGUAAUUGAACUCUAAUUUCACAUCAUUCAUAACGAGGGCUGCUGGAUUUACCUUGGUCAAUACUGGAGGGUCUACAAUGGACUGUACCUUGAGAGGCAGCUCAGAGAGUUUAAGUUGGCUUAUCUGAAGCAACAACUUGUAUAUGAAGUGAUCACCAUGAGGGGGAACAGGGGUGAGCUCCCGAGCUUCAUGAUCGAGGAAGUCCUGUUCUAGACGAAGGUAACCACCUUGUCGUGACAAGUUGGGCAAGGAAUCAGCGGAAGCACCUGCUCGGGCUGCCAUGGUUUUCGAUCUGGGUGUUCACGGCGAGGAGAAGGGGAUAAGGGAAGGGGGAGAGCAGGGGUAGCAGAAGAAUCUUGGAGUGGAAGUUGCAGGAGUUAAAAUAAUCGGAGCGGUGUGAUGGAGGACGACAUCCGUUUGCUGGCUGACGGCUGAGCCGUGGCCCACAUCGCAAGGGUCCAUCUGAGCCGGGCCUGCGAGGAUGACUGCCGUUACAAUCAAUGUGGUGGUUGGGUGGGCCACAUGCUGUGAAAAAGCCGUGCAUACUGUUCGAAUACAGAGUAAAAUACUCCGAGUGGUGCGAAUCUUAGCGCUAGUGAACGGCUGAGAUCUGAGCUCGAGCUCAGAAUAGCACUUUCGGCUGUAGUGUCCCUUUUCUUGCUUCCAUUAUAGUGGCGACAAUAUUUAUUCGGCAACAUUUUGCGUACGUGUACCCCAUUGCGCCGCUGACAAUACCCUUGCUUCCCAGCCAUCUUACACGUGGACCUUGUAACAGUUUUUCUUAUGUAAUCUUUUUUUGUAUUUGUAUUAAGCUUUUGUUGCAUGGAA